AACGAACGCUGGCGGCAGGCUUAACACAUGCAAGUCGAACGCCCCGCAAGGGGAGUGGCAGACGGGUGAGUAACGCGUGGGAAUCUACCCAGUUCUACGGAACAACUGAGGGAAACUUCAGCUAAUACCGUAUACGCCCUACGGGGAAAGAUUUAUCGGAAUUGGAUGAGCCCGCGUUGGAUUAGCUAGUUGGUGAGGUAACGGCUCACCAAGGCGACGAUCCAUAGCUGGUCUGAGAGGAUGAUCAGCCACACUGGGACUGAGACACGGCCCAGACUCCUACGGGAGGCAGCAGUGGGGAAUAUUGGACAAUGGGCGCAAGCCUGAUCCAGCCAUGCCGCGUGAGUGAUGAAGGCCUUAGGGUUGUAAAGCUCUUUCAGUGGGGACGAUAAUGACGGUACCCACAGAAGAAGCCCCGGCUAACUUCGUG
rnacentral:rRNA from 1 species